rnacentral:rRNA from 1 species
UGCAGAAUCCCGUGAACCAUCGAGUCUUUGAACGCAAGUUGCGCCCGAUGCCAUUAGGUUGAGGGCACGUCUGCCUGGGUGUCACAUAUCGAAACCUCCUGCCAAUUUCCAUUUGACUAUUGUGCAGGGUGGAUGUUGGCCUCCCGUGAGCUCUUUCGUCUCAUGGUUGGUUGAAAAUUGAGACCUUGGUAGGGUGUGCCAUGAUAGAUGGUGGUUGUGUGACCCACGAGACCAAUCAUGCGCUGCUCUAUUGAAUUUGGCCUCUUUUACCCAUAUGCGUUUCUAAACGCUCGUGAUGAGACCUCAGGUCAGGCGGGGCUACCCGCUGAAUUUAAGCAUAUCAAUAAGCGGAGGAAAAGAAACUAACAAGGAUUCCCUUAGUAACGGCGAGCGAACCGGGAUAAGCCCACCAUGAGAAUCGAUCGCCCUCGGCGUUCGA